UCUUCUACAGGCACUAGUGUGCUACAGGGUGCUUCAUGAGCAAGAGCCCAUGUUGGCAUAAGACUAUCAAGACACUGACAUGAUGUUAGAUUGCAAAGGCUUUGCAGACAGGGGACGCCAUUCAUACCAAAGCAUCAGUGGUGGAAUGCACUUCUCUGAAUCCACUUGGAGCUGCUGAAAAUACUUUUACCCUCCAAAUACCAUGUGAGAUUAGAAUACUGAAAAGGUCCAGUUUCAUCUUCCCCAGGGCACGUCGUGGGAUCUAAUCCAGCUAAAACAAGAAGAGGGCUGACUGACACGUCUGUCAAGGCCUAAAAGGCAGGUGGGAGCGGCAGUGCGUGAAGUCCAACUGCCAGCGGGGAUGAAAAUCCCUCUGCGCAUAGCGAUCUCCAGUGUCCUGCAACUGUGUCUCGUCUUCCUCUAUGACAUUAUUUCAACGGAAGGACGAACUGGAGAAGGACCUCUGUUGAAAAAGUACGCAGCCACAGAGCGUCCAGGAGGGAUGAAUCAACUUCUGGAAGUUAUUGGUGAUGUGGUCAAAGUUCACUUUCCCGAUUGCCAUCUGCUGAUGCUCAAAGAAACGGACGAUGCACACGCUG